ACAGGCUUUUAUUAGCCGCGUUCGUUUCUACUCAUGAGUAGAUGAUUAGUAGAUCGAGUAGGUACUACAAUCCACACAAAGUCAGUUGCUCGAUUAGAUACAAAUGUCUAGUUAUUGUAAUAGAUUUCUACUCAUGAGUAGUCUACCCCAUCCAAAUGAACAAAUGAACUCGACUAUUUCAGGGAUGAGAGCGGAAUCGAUUUUUAAUUUGGGUGCGUUCAGAUUUAGUAUUUUGAUGAGAACGUUCAGCGAACAGUGAUCAAAUACAUGUUAUUCUUUAUGUGAAAUAAAACAAAAAGUAGAAUUUCUUUUAAAAAAAUAUUAUUUUGCUCUUGUUUUUGUCUUUUUUUUUUGGACAAGUGCUGAAGGGUUUGUGAAAAAAUUCUAUAAAAAAGAUCCCAAAACAUAUAUGUAUGAAUGUUAUACAAAACAGUUUUAACAAAUAAAUAAAAGCACCCGUCGGCAAAGAAAUAUAAAUUCAAAAACAAAUCAAAUACGUACAUACCUUUCAUUAAACAGCUGUCAAAUGUUAGUAAACAAAUUGAUAAAAUCUACCUAAAUCAAAGUAGGUACCUAUGUAUUUAUUAUAAAAAUAACGUCUUUUAUUUACUUUUUUUUUUAACUUUGCACCUGUCAUUUUGGGCACUUCUGAUUUUGAUGGAUUCGAAAAUUUUCUUACUAUUAUAACAUAGAAAUUCACCCUUAUCAACUUUUUUCGAACUCGUUUGAGUAUGUCUUUUAAAAUUUAGUACCUUCACACCAUAAUAAUUCAAUUUUACGCUGGGUUAGUUAAUGUAGGUAAAUGUCAUUUUUACAUGUCAAAAAGUAAAUUUUCACUCGUACCCAAACGCUGCCGGGAAAGAAGUAACUUUCUGACGCUUUUUUGCAAUGAAAGCAAAUUAUAAUCCAAAAAUCAUAAAUUUUAAAUUGAAUCCCAAGCUUUCCAAAAAAUUAAGUUUCAUCGAGACUCUUUAAUUAAUCACAACAUCCAUUUCACCUUCUAAUAUGAAAACAAAGCAAAUCUCUGACAGUUUUAAACGUCAAUCUAAAGUUUCAUAUUCUAACGUGCAUUUUGUAGGUACCUAAAUCAAAUCAAAACCAAAACAAAAUCUAUUCAUAUUCAUAAAGAAGAUACAUAGGUGCAAAUAAAAAAAACUUGCAAUAUUUUUCCCCACACAAAGUGCGAUGUUCAUCUUUUAAGGUUUGCUGACUUGAACACUAAAGAUUCGACACAUUAUAUUCCACCUGAGAAAAUAUAACAAACAAGUGCUUUGCUUUAUAUUUUCCUCAAAUCUAUACCUACCUGUGCUACCAACAUAAUACUCAUCGUAUCCACACAGUACCUACAUUUUUUUCAAAAAUUUGUUUUCUAUCAUAUUCACAUCAUGUAUUAUAUAUCUACAUUAUUUCGCUUACCACUUGUUUCUUAUAUUAUUAUUUUUAUUUUUUUUUGUUGCUCCUUACAUAUUCGUGAACUGACGACGCAUGGCAAAAGUUGAAAAAGCCUAACCAUAACAGGAGGGCGAUGUGAUGUGAUGAUGUGUGCAUGAAUGUGUGUUGCUUCAUCCAUCAUAUACACAUGUACAAAUCUACCUACAUUUGUGUGUAUAUAAUUAUAAUGAUGAUUAUGAGAUGAGGUCGUUGUCAUUAGGUUUCCGUUUUUCUUUAACUUGCAUCGCUCUCUCAAUUUCAAUUCUUAUUUAUUCCGCUCUGCUCAUCUAGGUUCAUAAAAUUUACAAUAUUUUUCUUUAUUUUUUUUUAAACAAAUUUAUGGAAUUUUGUUCCGAGUAAACAAGAAGAAAGGAUUACAAAAGAUAAACACGUAAAUAACGAAAUAAACACCUCACUACCGGCCAAAACAAAGAAAAAGUCCCUAUUCUCUGUCUAUCUAUACUCUCGUCGUGUAGGUACAUUCUGAUGAAGGUAGGUGGCUCUAGGUAAGUAGAAGUGCAAAUAAAGGAAGUGAGAGGAAUAGAGGAUACAACAACACCAAAACAUAAAAAAGCUCCCAUCAUCAUCAUCACAACCAAAAUAAGAAUAGCAAAAAAAAAAAAAAAAAAAUUGAGCUGCAAUGCAUAGAAAAAAGGGAAGAAAUCAAAGUAAACGAAGUGGAAAUUUGCUCUCCUCGCUCUCAUCGUUGUGUUUUUUUUAUUCAAGUUCCAUUGCAAUAUCGUCGUCGUUGUGCUCGUGGUGAUUCCUGCGAAAGCGCUUCGGUACGAAUUCGAACAAUAGCUAGAAGCAAACCAAAGGAGAAACUCAUCAAGCUGCCUUCAAAAUAUUGUUUGUUGUUGUUGUUAUUAUUUUUGUGUUUGUCGUUGUUUUUGUAAUUCUUUCAUUUCAUUUUGUUGUUGAUGAUGCUGGUGACUGUAAAAAUGCAACUGCAACGACCAACGCGCAUUUGGCAAUGACUGGGAGAAGUUGCAUUAAAUUAUCUGUUUUUUUUUUGUUUUGUUUUACGUAAUGACUUAAAGAGACGUCACAAGUUUUGUUUUGUUUUUUGUUUUUUUUUUUUUUGCUUGGGUAAUGAAAAUAUAGCUUUUUGUUGCUAAUAAAUAUGGAGAUAUCUUCUGUCUCUCAUUUACAAUGCGUUUUAAAUCAAGUGUAAUCGAAGUUAUUAUUCGCUGUACUAUAUACAAGGGGUGAUUAGUAAUGCUGUUGCGUGCUUAAACUACGUAAAGAUAUUGCGUUGUAAAUUUGGAAAUGUUGUUGUUUGUUUUUAGAGAGAGAUAAUGAUUGUCAAAUGAUAUGUCAGAUAAUAGCAUUGAAAUAAGUGUUGUAAAUAAUAUGAAAUGUCAGUAUUGAGAAACUAUGUACUUUAUUUUUUUUUUAUUUAAUGUCAUCAGAUUAAUGAAAGAUAAUUACAUAGAACUGUAACGUUUUCAGCAGGCAAUUGAACUUUCAAGAAAACUUAUGCAUGUGUUCGCAGUUGGAAUUGGAAUCUGAAUUAUAUUGGACUGGAUUGCAUUACAUUUCUUUCCUUAUUUUCCAAACACUUCCUUCCUCAAUUUCGUAACAUACCCUUUUUAUUACUUUUCUACCAUACCGAACUUCGCCCGUUCUUCUUAUCUUAAAUUAAUAGCCCAGAUCUAAACCCGAUUUUGAACUGCAGCAUUACAGCAAAACAAAAAAAUCCCUUAUUGAAGGUAUUUUUUGAAGUUAUACUUCUUUUCCGUCGUUUUUAUCAGAGUGAAAAUUUACUUUUUGACAAACGUCAAAAUGACAUUUACCUACAUAUUUUAAUACAUGAGUACGAAAAAAGUUUUGAUAAAAAUGAGUCUCUGUGAGUAAGAAGCAUAACUUCAUGGCAGCUUUUUUCAAUCCUAAAUGCUCUUAUCACAACACCAUACAUUUCGAAACUGAAAAACGAAAUUACAGCAUUCAGUAAAAAUCCAAUCUGUAAACGUCAAAUGUCGCCUUUGUUAGUAAGAAGACUUGAAAACAAUGUUUUAUUUAUUCCUUGAGACUUAAAUAGGAUACGACUUUCUAAAUUUUAAGACCAUUAGACGUCGAAAACAAGAAAAAAAUUGAUUGAAAAACUUUUCUUUGACAAUGAACCUUAACUCCAAUGUAAACAGUGUAAACUGUUAUACUCCAAUCAACAUGUAAGCAUGUGAACGCAUCCAUUUUAAAAUGUCUCUGAAAAUGAUAGUUGUCAACAACAAGCAGUCAAAAUGACAGAUUUAUAUUUGAAAUUAAGUCUGUUCAAUGACUGAGUUCUUGAUUUUUCGGAACAGAAAAAUAGGCACAAUAGAGCUCUGUUCGGUUCUAUUUCUUUGUUGAACGGAUGUAUGUGUGUGAUUCAUAUUUUAUUGAUAAGGUUUAGAGACUAACUAUAAUUUUCCUCUAGCACAGACAAAGGGUUAAAAUUAAAAAAAGAAAUAGUUCUGUUUGUAUUCAGUUUCUUGUUAUGUAAGGAUCCACGCUAUAUCUCGUUUAACGCAUUUUACUCAACUACAUGUUAUUGGUAUUAUCCACCCUGAAUGAUUAAUAUUAAACCGAUCAAUAACUUUGUUUUUCAAGUCACAAUUAUAACAUGCAAUCGUCUAUCUAAACAAAUAUGAGCUAAAAAACAAUUCCAGACCGGUUUAAUGCGUUUUUAAUUUCUCUUUUUCUUAAUGACCUAUAACAUUCAUCCAAUCAACCUAUAUAAAAAAAAGCAAGUCUGCUAAUUCAAUGCCCUUAUACCUGUCGCCCCAUCCAUUUACAAAAUACCAGGGUCAAUAUUCUCUCGCUAAUGUAUGUAGGUAUGUACAUAGCAGCCCACCCAACCUAUUCGCUUGAUGUAUUUUUCAUUUUCAAACACGAUCUCUUCUAAAAAAAAUUAAAACACUGCAUUAAAUUUAUUUACAAAAUGAAAAAAAAAAAA